rnacentral:rRNA from 1 species
AUUGAACGCUGGCGGCAGGCCUAACACAUGCAAGUCGAGCGAGCGGCGGACGGGUGAGUAAUGUCUGGGAAACUGCCUGAUGGAGGGGGAUAACUACUGGAAACGGUAGCUAAUACCGCAUACCAUCAGAUGUGCCCAGAUGGGAUUAGCUAGUAGGUGGGGUAACGGCUCACCUAGGCGACGAUCCCUAGCUGGUCUGAGAGGAUGACCAGCAACACGGGAACGGAGACACGGUCCAGACUCCUCCGGGAGGCAGCAGGGGGGAAUAUUGGACAAUGGGCGCAAGCCUGAUGCAGCAAUGCCGCGGGUGUGAAGAAGGCCUUCGGGUUGUAAAGCACUUUAAGUUGGGAGGCGCUACCAACAGAAUAAGCACCGGCUAACUACGUGCCAGCAGCCGCGGUAAUUC